rnacentral:rRNA from 1 species
GGUACUGUCAUUAUCAUCCCUGGCGAAAGAGCUUUACGACCCUAGGGCCUUCAUCACUCACGCGGCAUGGCUAGAUCAGGCUUGCGCCCAUUGUCUAAGAUUCCCCACUGCUGCCUCCCGUAGGAGUA